rnacentral:miRNA from 8 species
CCUCGUUCUGCUUUCCCCACAG